rnacentral:rRNA from 1 species
GUCUACAGCCAUACCACCCUGAACACACCUAAUCUCGGAAGCUAAGCAGGGUCAGGCUUGGUUAGUACUUGCAUGGGAGAACCCCUUUCCACUUAAACUUACUGAUUACA